UUGCUCACUGAGCUGGUAAGUUUGUUCACAAAAUGUUUCGUCACCAUGCUAGGUAACAUCAUCAGUGCGGCUCUGGUGAAGCAGUGUUUUGUCCCGCUUGCGUGUCUUGGUGUUGAGGCGGGUGGCAUCACUUCCGGACUUGUUUUAGCAGUUGGUAUAUGGGGUCCAGUUCUACAUGCUGGGUAAUGGAGUUCCGGUUUGAGUGCCAGGCCUCCAGGAAUUCUCAUGUGUGUCUUUGCUUGGCUUGUCCUCGGAUAGCUCCGUUGUCCCAGUUGAAUUGGUGUCCGUCUUUGUCCAUAUGUAUUGAAGUGAGUAAUAGUUGGUCGUGUCUCUUGGUGGCUAGUCGGUGUUCAUGAAUCCUGACAGCGAGCUUCCUUCCAGUUUGCCCUAUGUCAUGUUUCUGGCAGUCUUUGCAUUGUAUCUUGGAAAUAACGUUGGUUCUGUUAGUUGUGGUUGUCAGAUCCUUAAUUCUAAUCAGUAGCUGUCGUACUGAGGCUGUUGGUUUGUGAUCUAUUAUGAUUCCUAAGGGGUGGAGUAAUCUGGUGGUCAUUUCAGAUAUGUCCUUAAUGUAUGGUAGGGUGAUUAGUGUCUCUGGACAUUUUGUGCCUUCCUGUUGUGUAGUUAUCCACGUACUACGCUUUUUCGGGUAACCGUUGUUUCUAAAUACGGUGUAAAGGUAUUAUUCCUCGGCUUUGCGUAGCUCCGGGGUACUGCAGUGUGUCGUGGCUCGUUUGAACAGUGUAACUCCGUUUGUGGGUAUUGGGAUGAUUGCUAUUGUAGUUAAGUACCUGAUCUGUAUGGGUGGCCUUCCUGUGUACGCUGGUCUGGAGCUCACUGUUGGCCUUACGAUCGACCAUUACGUCCAGGAAGGGAAAUCUGUUGUUGUUCGGCUCCAGAACACUGAUGCCUCACCGGAGGCACACUAAUGAUGUUACCUAACAGGGUGAUGAAACGUUUGCGAACAAACUUACUAGAUUGGCGAACAAGUCAACAACUGCAUCACAACCCGAGCUACAAAUCUUCUCAAACACCUUAAGUGGAGAGUGCUGACUAAUGCCUUGCAGAUGGUGGUCAGGCAGACCAGAGUGAAUCGCAAGUUGUGAUGUUAUGGAAUAGACAGAGUACUGGCACGAAGUUCAACAAAGUUCCGAGUUUGACAUGGCAUGUGAUUCUCAGUGCUCUAUGAUUCAAUUCACUCCUCCGUAAAUCCAUGGGUGAAUGUUCUCCCAUCAAGAACUCAGCCAGACAACAGCAAUUGGAGAGAAAAUUGUGCACUGCUUUGCUGGCAAGUCCAAAAAGCCACAAUGCUUUGCGAAAUGUCAAGACACUACGCACACACUACCAGGCCAACAAAGCCGCCUGGAGGACAUUCAGCAUUUUUGACGUGCGAAUCGGGAAGUGGACAAAAUGUACCAAACAGUAGAAACUGAAGACCCUGAAAACUUUUAUUGAUGUCCACAUGUUCACCCUCCUGUUUCCUGAGCUGAAGUCGCAAAGGCUGUAGAGAUGCUCUAAGAUGUUGCACGCUAACAUGGAAACCAUGUUUAACUGCAUUGACAGUGCUGUGGACCCAUCCACAAGUAGCAUACUAAGCAUUAAAAAAAUUAGAGAUUACUGAGUGUUUCCAGAGCUAACUAUCCAAUGUUUUGCAAUAGCUUUCGUUGUGCAUGUUCAGGUUAUUGUAAGAUGUGAAGGAAACUGAAAAAUAAUAAUAAAUGUGAAAAUUGUAAUUA